rnacentral:lncRNA from 1 species
ACAUGGAUAUCAGAUGCCAAUCUAUCUGGACUUAUUCCAAUCUCCACAAGAUGAUCAUAGGAAUACAAAUGCCAACAACAUGGACUUACAAUUGCAUCCUCACAUACAACAAACAAACAGAAGCACAAGGCUAAGAGGAUAUGAGUGACCAAUGAAAUGGUCUUACACUCUAUCCCUUCCAAAUCAUAGGAACAAUGGCCAAAGAACAUGGUCUUAC